UACGAAGGGGGCAAGCGUUGUUCGGAUUUACUGGGCGUACAGGGAGCGUAGGCGGUUGGAUAAGCCCUCCGUGAAAUCUCCAGGCUUAACCUGGAAAGUGCAGAGGGGACUGCUCAGCUAGAGGAUGGGAGAGGAGCGCGGAAUUCCCGGUGUAGCGGUGAAAUGCGUAGAGAUCGGGAGGAAGGCCGGUGGCGAAGGCGGCGCUCUGGAACAUUUCUGACGCUGAGGCUCGAAAGCGUGGGGAGCAAUCAGG
rnacentral:rRNA from 1 species